UACGUAGGGUGCGAGCGUUGUCCGGAAUUAUUGGGCGUAAAGAGCGCGUAGGCGGCCUGUCGCGUCGGAUGUGAAAGCCCGGGGCUUAACCCCGGGUCUGCAUUCGAUACGGGCAGGCUAGAGUUCGGUAGGGGAGAUCGGAAUUCCUGGUGUAGCGGUGAAAUGCGCAGAUAUCAGGAGGAACACCGGUGGCGAAGGCGGAUCUCUGGGCCGAUACUGACGCUGAGGAGCGAAAGCGUGGGGAGCGAACAGG
rnacentral:rRNA from 1 species